CAGUUGGUUCUUAUUUUAUUGGUUUUACGGACCAAUGUCAUGAUGAAUAGGGACAGUUGGGGGCAUUCGUAUUCCGAAGCUAGAGGUGAAAUUCUUGGAUUUUCGGAAGACGAACUACUGCGAAAGCAUUUGCCAAGGAUGUUUUCAUUAAUCAAGAACGAAAGUUAGGGGAUCGAAGACGAUUAGAUACCGUCGUAGUCUUAACCAUAAAUGAUGCCGACUAGGGAUCGGUAAACGUCAACAUUGACUUUAUCGGCACCUUACGAGAAAUCAAAGUUUUUGGGUUCUGGGGGGAGUAUGGUCGCAAGUCUGAAACUUAAAGGAAUUGACGGAAGGGCACCACCAGGAGUGGAGCCUGCGGCUUAAUUUGACUCAACACGGGGAAACUCA
rnacentral:rRNA from 1 species